GCCUACGGCCACACCACCCUGAAAGUGCCCGAUCUCGUCUGAUCUCGGAAGCGAUCCAGGGCCGGGCCUGGUUAGUACCUGGAUGGGAGACCGCCUGGGAAUACCGGGUGUCGUAGGCUU
rnacentral:rRNA from 1 species